UACAACCAAACAAUCAACAUACAGACUAGCUUGUAUUUUGAUGUAAAAUAAUAAAAUUCUAAAAAAAAUCCAAAGACUUAAACUCUAAAUAAAGAUAAAAUUAUAAUUUGUAAUGUAGUAUUAAAGUCUCCAAUAUAUUUUUUUGUAUUAUAGAUUUACAUAAGGUCAUUUUUUGUUUUUUAAUAAAUACAGGGAUCUAAACUGAAAAGGUGGUUUAGUGUCUAGAAAUUAAAAAAGAAAAUGAGAAACUUAAAACAGAAAGUUGUUUCCAGAUUUGUAAAUACAUUUACUCUAUAUUGAGUGUAAAAUUGUCUUACAUUGAUGAAAUAUUCUCAUUUAAUGUUGCUAUAAAAAGUUCAAUUUUCUCUUUAUUUUCUGAAAAUGUUUAAUAAUACUUUUCUCUUCUUGUCAUUUUAAGUUUCAAAUCUAAAUUUAGAAAAAAAUAUUUUGUAAAAGAAAGAUACAAGUCUACAAAAUUAGUUUAGAGUCCUAAACCACCUUUCAUUUCUUCUGAAAAUAUAACACAGUAAUUUGAUUAGAAUAUCUCCUUAGUGCAAAAUUCUAUGCAUGUUUUUGUUUCUUGAAUCCACAAGAAAAGAAAAUGUCCCCCUCCCCUCCCUGUAUGAAAACAAAUCAAAGUCCUUGACCUUUAGUUGAAAUAUGAGAUUCAUACAAAUGUGGCAGCACUAAGUAUUGCACCUCAAAUCAAAUAUCCUUAAUCCUGAAAAAUGAGAAAAAUAAAUACAUCAUAAAAAUCUUGUUUAAUCCUAUUACAAAUGAAAAAUAAAACUAUUUAUGAUGAUGAAAAAUCUACAAAAGUGUAUGCACAAAAACUUUGAACGUAUCAACUUACCAAAUGGAAUUGAAAAUGAGAAAUAAAAUUUGUCAUUAGAACAGAAAUAUCUCUAAAGGCUUAACCAAACCAACAAUAAUACAUCUAACAGAAUACCAUCCUAUGGUACAAUAUUUAAAGUCAGAUAACUCUUAAUACAUUAAUAAUGUUAGCCAAACAAGGAUUUAUCUCUAAGUCGAGAUAUCAAUUGGGAAGAAGUCAAAAUGUUUCUUUUCAUCAUUAACUUCUUUAAAAUAUAGAAAUAAGGGAUUAAGAUCAAUUCUAUGAAAAUUACAACAUUAUAAAUCCAACUUAAUGCCUUGAUUGCAUUUAAAAUUGCACUCAAUUCUGUUUAUAACUUCAAAGGCUAAAAAUCCUAGAUUUCAGAACAAAGAGAGUUUCUUAUUGUAAGAAAUAUAAAAUACAUAUCAUACUAAGCUACCAUUUUUUUUCUUCUAAAAUUUAAAGCAAUGGAUGAUCAAAAUUAAAGUGUUGUCCAUCCACUACACAGACCUUUCUACGUCUUUAAAAUAACAAAAUAAAAAUGGUAUUCAGUGUUAAGGAAAAAAAUUCCAAUUUUAAAAAUAAAAAUUCAGGUAUACAAUAUGAACACAAAAUUACAAACUAUAAAUGGAAUGUUAACAUUUUUUUCACAAAUUCUAGGGAUGAACUAUUGGAUUGGCUCCAAAGAUAAAUCCUUAGAAUUCAUUCAAGUCCAUAGGUCCAUCCUAAGUUUUUCAGCCUGUCAUAUCUUUUUUUUUUAUAUUUCAAUAUUUAUAAGUAUGGAUAUUUCAUUAUAAAUAAAGUAAUAAUAUAAUAUAUACAAAAUUAGCACUAAACUCUUGGAAAGUAAACAAAGUUUGUUUUGGAUUUCACUUUAAAGUAAAUUUAAUAUAUCUUAUUUUAAAUAUAAAUAUAUAAUGAUAUGCACAGUGACUAAGAAAAUAAUUAAAAAAAAAUCAGA
rnacentral:lncRNA from 1 species